rnacentral:sRNA from 2 species
ACGGGCCGUACGCCGAGUUCUGCCCUUGRCCCGUCGUCCCUCCGAGAUCRCCAGGGCAGAAGCGGGGGAACCACGUUCCUCCGGGCGGCCGCCGCGGUGGCCGCCCUCGGGGUGAAGUCGGCGCGCUCGUGYGCCUGACCGGGCUUCCCGGCCCGAACCCGACAGCUAACCCCGCAGGCGUACGGGAAGGAUCUU